rnacentral:rRNA from 1 species
UACGAAGGGUGCAAGCGUUACUCGGAAUUACUGGGCGUAAAGCGUGCGUAGGUGGUUCGUUAAGUCUGAUGUGAAAGCCCUGGGCUCAACCUGGGAAUGGCAUUGGAUACUGGCGAUCUAGAGUGCGGUAGAGGGCAGUGGAAUUCCCGGGUGUAGCAGUGAAAUGCGUAGAGAUCGGGAGGAACAUCUGUGGCGAAGGCGACUGCCUGGACCAGCACUGACACUGAGGCACGAAAGCGUGGGGAGCAAACAGGG